rnacentral:rRNA from 1 species
UACGUAGGGAGCAAGCGUUGUCCGGAAUCAUUGGGCGUAAAGCGCGCGUAGGUGGCCCCAUAAGUCCGCUGUGAAAGUCAAAGGCUCAACCUUUGAAAGCCGGUGGAUACUGUGGGACUAGAGUACGGAAGAGGCGAGUGGAAUUCCUGAUGUAGCGGUGGAAUGCGCAGAUAUCAGGAGGAACACCAAUAGCGAAGGCAGCUCGCUGGGACGUUACUGACACUGAGGUGCGAAAGCUAGGGGAGCAAACAGG